CUCCUCCAGAUUUCCAUCAAUUUUUUCAAUGAAGAGUCCUUUGGCAUCGAAAGAGGCUUGGUGGAGGAGGUCGUCUUCAGUGUCAAGGAGGAAGAUUUCUUUGCAGCGGGGGUCUUUUUUACUGGCUUAUCCAAAGUCUUGCUCAACGAGGACUGAGCUCUAGAAGAUUCCAAGAGGUCCAGCGCAGGUGCUGAUUUAGCCCUUUUGUGUGCAUUCAAAGAAGCCACGAUGAAGAAAUGAACCUUCUGAAUAGGAGAAGAUGAUGGCAAGAGCAAGGUUGUCUACUAUAAGAUGGUAAUCCCAUUCUUGCAGUGCAGAGUUCUGCAUUUAUCCCUGUUAAAUCAGAAUCACCGAUUGUUGUCAAAACAGAAAUCAAAGAGACUAUGUACGGUAACUUGAAGUAGCAGAUGGAGAAGUUGCAUCCUCUCUGCCAAAAGAAGAUCAGGAACAGAUUGUGUGGUACUUAUCAUGAACUGAGAAUAUAAAAAAUGAGAAUGCAGCUGAACACUAGUUCUGAAGUGUCAACAUAUAAUUUAAAUAAUAUAAAGUCAUAUAAAGUGUACUAAACUCAAUUGUGUCUGAACUAGAAGAACUGUAGGUUGAAAUCACAGAGAUCAGGAGGGAAGAAUGCAAAAAGACUAUUCUUGUAAUUAAAAAUAAAUAAAAAAUAAAAACCUAGAUGGAUCACUAAUGAAAAUAUUGUAAAGGACAGACCAGAAGCAAGAGUUUACAGAAAUAGGAUCAUAAACUGAAUUGUAAAUGGAACUUUCCAGCAAUUUGCACAUAAAGCCAAAGAGAAAUAUUACCACAGACCAGUGCAAAGAAACAGAUCAACGAAAGAGAAAUUCCUGUAAAUUCCAAGAAAUCAAAGGGAAAUUUCAACCUGAGCUGAACUGAAAGAUCAUCAAGGGAACUUAUUUAUCUGAUCAGGAUAAAAGAAAGAGAAGAUGCAAACAAUAUACUGAAGAACUACAUUGGGGAGAUGCAAGGAUGACAUAUUCCUUUUAAGAAGAAUCUUGCGAUAAGGAUACCGUACUUUUAAAAGGUGAAGUAAACACUGCUCUCAAACCACUUGGAAGAAAGAAAUCACCAGGAGUAGAUGGAAAAUCAAUAGUACUACUUCAAGCUAAUUUGUUAAAAAAAUAGUCCACAGACUGGAAACAAUCAAUACACAUUUCAAUCCUGAUAAAAGGAGAUACUAAAGAGUGCAAUAACUACAGGACCAUUGGACUGAUUUCCCAUGCACGGAAGCUGAUGCUUAAGGUUUUGCAAUGAAGACUUUUACCAUAUGUAGAUUGGGAAAUGCCUGAUAUUCAAGCUGGAUUCAGAAAAGCAAGAGAUACUACAAAUCAUAUUGCAAACAUAAAUUGGCUACUGGAGCAUACCAAAGAAUUUCAGAAGAAUGUCUAUCUGAGUUUUAUGGACUAUAGUAAAGCAUUUGAAUCUAGGGAUUCUGGAAAGCUAGGGUUGGUUCUAAAAGAAAUCAGUAUGCGUCUACACUAUAUUCUCUUCAUAUUUUGGCAUAUGCUGUGGACAAGAAGUUAUUGGUAAAAUAGAAUAUGAAAAAACAGAAUGGCAAUGACUUGAAGUACUUCCUGUGAAAGAAGAAAGUGGCAAAAAAGACUCUAGCUGAGUGUUAAGAAGAUAAAAAUCCUUUUAACAGAAGAAUUACAUGACUAUAAGGAAUAAAAUGGAAUUGUUAAACAUUUCUGCAGCCAACAAAAGAAGAAUAUUAAAGCAGCAAACUACGGGGGGGGGGGCAGGGAAUGUGGGAAAUGCUUCAGGUUUGGGGUAGACUGAUUCACAUUUUUUCUUUGAUCACAUGAUACAAAGAGAAAUGCAAAUCAGUUCAGAAUCCCCUCUCCAAAACCAUAGUUUUUCUCUCACCAGCAAAAGCAUCCACUUUUUAAUACAGUUAAUUCACAUCCAUUCAAGCAUGUGAUUGCUUUGAAUCAAUACAGAAAAGUUGCCAGGAAUUGUGAGCAAAACACUUCAGCAAAAACAAUAGCAACAACAACAACCAACCAACCAAACAAACAAACAGGUGAACAGCAUGCUUCUUUCUAAGAAAACACCAACAUAAACCGGAAUUUUUUCAUC